rnacentral:rRNA from 1 species
CAAUCUAUACGGUGAAACUGCGAAUGGCUCAUUAAAUCAGUUAUCGUUUAUUUGAUAGUACCUUACUACAUGGAUAACCGUGGUAAUUCUAGAGCUAAUACAUGCUAAAAACCCCGACUUCGGGAGGGGUGUAUUUAUUAGAUAAAAAACCAAUGCCCUUCGGGGCUCCUUGGUGAUUCAUAAUAACUUAACGAAUCGCAUGGCCUUGCGCCGGCGAUGGUUCAUUCAAAUUUCUGCCCUAUCAACUUUCGAUGGUAGGAUAGUGGCCUACCAUGGUAUCAACGGGUAACGGGGAAUUAGGGUUCGAUUCCGGAGAGGGAGCCUGAGAAACGGCUACCACAUCCAAGGAAGGCAGCAGGCGCGCAAAUUACCCAAUCCCGACACGGGGAGGUAGUGACAAUAAAUACUGAUACAGGGCUCUUUUGGGUCUUGUAAUCGGAAUGAGUACAAUUUAAAUCCCUUAACGAGGAACAAUUGGAGGGCAAGUCUGGUGCCAGCAGCCGCGGUAAUUCCAGCUCCAAUAGCGUAUAUUAAAGUUGUUGCAGUUAAAAAGCUCGUAGUUGAACCUUGGGCCUGGCUGGCCGGUCCGCCUCACCGCGUGUACUGGUCCGGCCGGGCCUUUCCUUCCGGGGAUCCGCAUGCCCUUCACUGGGUGUGCCGGGGAACCGGGACUUUUACUGUGAAAAAAUUAGAGUGUUCAAAGCAGGCCUUUGCUCGAAUACAUUAGCAUGGAAUAAUAGAAUAGGA